GAAUCUGCCUGGUAGUGGGGGAUAACGUUCGGAAACGGACGCUAAUACCGCAUACGUCCUACGGGAGAAAGCAGGGGACCUUCGGGCCUUGCGCUAUCAGAUGAGCCUAGGUCGGAUUAGCUAGUUGGUGGGGUAAUGGCUCACCAAGGCGACGAUCCGUAACUGGUCUGAGAGGGUGAUCAGUCACACUGGAACUGAGACACGGUCCAGACUCCUACGGGAGGCAGCAGUGGGGAAUAUUGGACAAUGGGCGAAAGCCUGAUCCAGCCAUGCCGCGUGUGUGAAGAAGGUCUUCGGAUUGUAAAGCACUUUAAGUUGGGAGGAAGGGUUGUAGAUUAAUACUCUGCAAUUUUGACGUUACCGACAGAAUAAGCACCGGCUAACUCUGUGCCAGCAGCCGCGG
rnacentral:rRNA from 1 species